GUUUUGGGAUGAAACGGUUCCACCUCAGGUCAUCGGGCAUUAGUUAGAUUCUCACAAAAAGCUUGCAACCUAUAUCCCUCCCAUGUGCAGUUCACAACAGGGUUCGUGCUCCUAUGAGAAUCUAAUGCUGCCACAGAUCUGACAGGAGGGAUAAGGAGGGGGAGGGGAAUUGAAAGCAAGCUCAGGGGAUUUGGGGGGUUGAGUUUGUUGUUGCUGUUGUUUUUAAACAUAAAAUGCUCACAUCAUUGCCAUUCUCCCUCUCUAGGUACGGCAGGGUGGUAGGAAGGAAAGAGAGAAGUAUGAAGACACAGCUUUGGCAGUGUUUCCGUAAUGACUGGCCCUCAGACCACCCUAGCAGAUUGCUGACUGCCGAGCCACAAUCCCAACAGAAAUUGACUCUUCAAGUCCAUUUUAAUCAUUCCCUAACCACCUCGCGGGAAAACAGAAAAACGUCAAUGACUCCACGUUGGGAAAGCGAGGCUCUCCUCGGCCAUGCCUGCCUAGUGCUGAAGAAAUCAGAUGAAUAAUUUAUAUCACAAAGCAGUGUGCAGGGUCAGCUCGUGUGUGAAGGGGCUCUGAGUGAGGAGCUCUGGGCGCACGUCAGAAACAUCAUCUAUGAGGCCAAUAAACAAAUCCAGGCGGAAGAGCCUCAGGAAGUGGAAUGGGAAUUUUUUGUCAGCAAAGAUCAGUGAAGUCCAAUUUAAUUCUGGACUUGGCUGUAUGAAAUGGGAACGUUUUCAAAGCCCGUGGAAAAUCAAACAAUGAAAAAGAGAUUUUCCUGAUGUACUUGGCACAGACUCCAAGGAUAGCAAGACGGGCAGUGCUGCCUGGACCCCGGAGGGAGAUCGUCCUUAUCUUCAGAACAGCCAGGGCCCGAUGCCGAGCCUCACGGUCAGGGGUCGGUUCCCGUACCCAGUAGCAUACCCAGGAUCUGCAGGCGGGGCGGGGCUCGCUGGCAAAGCCCUGCAGAGGAGGCUGCCGUGUGCCCGUGCUAUUUCAAUCAAGCGUCUCUAGCUGGAGCUCUUAUUCUUUCACUUUCCUAAGGGGGAGAAAGUUAAAGAAAACUAGGGAGUUGGAGUGGAAGGGAGUUUUGAGGAGAGAGCCUAAACAAGGGGUACUAACCCCCUUGUAAGCAUCUAGAGGAGAAUUUUAAAAAAUGGAGGAAGGAGUUGAAAUACAUGGCCCAAAAGUUUUCAUAUUUGAAAAUAGUUCCUUGCUCACUUAUGUUAUAAACUAUUGCAUCAAAUGACCAUUUCUAACCAUUGUCUCAUCAAAUGAGACAUUUCUCAGGGCAGGAUUAGUAGUUUAUACUUAACCACAAUCAUUGGAGGCAAGUUAGUGGGAUAAUCAUGUAAUAAAUUAAAAAAAUAAAAAACAGAAAAAGAGGUAAGCAACGAACAUCGAGUGCCAACUACACGUCAGGUAUUAUCCUCAGUGUUUUCUGUGCAUCAACUCAUUUAAUCUUCAAACAACGCUACAAAGCAGGCACUCAUAUUAUUCCUAUUAGAGAUGAGAAAAUGGAGAGAGAGAGAGGAGGUCAAAUGGCUUGCCCACGGUCGCAGAGCCUGUAAGCGGCAGACUACCUCCAAGUCACUCAGCAGCAAACAUAGGUCUAGAACUCAGAGCUCUGACCCUUACCACCCAGGCUCUCCUUAUGGAUCUUUUACCAUCUUGUGCCCUGUGAAAUGUCUACCAAGUUCAGAUCCUAACCACUGAGAGCCAUAAAAUGUAUGCACAACAGAAUUU
rnacentral:lncRNA from 10 species